GACAGAGGCCUCGAGCGUUAGGCGGAAUCACUGGGCUUAAAGCGUGUGUAGGCGGAUCGUUAAGUGCCUUGUGAAAUCCCACGGCUUAACUGUGGAACGGCUGGGCAUACUGGCGGUCUUGAGCCAUCUAGGGGCGACUGGAACAAACGGUGGAGCGGUGAAAUGCGUAGAUAUCGGUUGGAACGCCAAUGGUGAAAACAGGUCGCUGGGGAUGAGCUGACGCUGAGACCCGAAAGCCAGGGGAGCAAACGGG
rnacentral:rRNA from 1 species